GGAUUGGAUGGGACACAGUCCCAGUCUGCUGUUUGGUUGAUCAUUUUGAGCUCGGGACAGAUGUAACCGAAACAGUAAAUUAAUCCCAAAUGAUCAGGACACAGCUGACCCGUCUCUCCCCCUACGUCAUUUUUGUCCCAAACUCAAAAAGCCCUUGUUCUCUCGCUUAUCGUUGCCUCGCGUGGAAGAUCAAAGGAAAAAUCACAGCUCGGUUGGCCAUCUACUAUAGUCGAUCUGGAGAAAGGGCUUCCAUUUGCAAGCAAAACCCCAAACUGUAAAGAACCCAGGCCAUCUUAUAGUCGGAUUCCAUUUGCAAGCAAAACCCCAAAUUGCAAAGAACCCAGGUAAGUUUCAUCUGUCUCUCCUCUCUGUUUUGUUGUCGUGGGAUCUGUCUCUCCUCUCCUC